GUGCUUUUGGUCUAGAGGUAACACAUUCUCAUCUUUUAGUCCCAUGCAACCUGAGCGUAGGGAAGGUCCUGGGUUCAACUCCCAGAGAGCACG